AUAUUGCUAGAAAUAAGGAGUAGAAUGAAUCUGGCUUGAUUUUGCCGUGUCUUACUUUGAAUUUCAAAUUCAAAUCUUGGUGCUUUCACCAUUUUUCUAGCAAGAGACACAUUAAUCAUUAAUCAUUUUAAACAAAUAUGGUGAGGGAAAUCAGAUCUUUUAGCCAAACUUGAUCCUUUUGCGUUUCUGCUCUCUCACUCCCUGAACAGAGAGGGAGCGACGAACACAAAUCUAAUGAUUUCCUUUCUCUUCUAUUUCCUUCACUCUCUCACUCCGUGAUGCUGACGUUUAUGCGCAGAUCCCUAAUCCCAAUGGUAGGGGUUCAAAUCAUAUGCAACCCGCUUCCAAAACCCCUCCAGAGUUGAUGGUGUAUGCUCCUUCAGGGCCUUUCUCUUCCACUCCAUGAUGUCGUCGACGUCGUUUCACCCUCUGAGCCCCAAUCCCCCUCUCCAAGACCAUCCCGCGCCACUGCGAGCUCAUAUCCUGCAGGUCCCUUGGCAAGAAACCCUUCUGCGGGUUCCACUGUGACUUAGGAGCAAAGCUCCAACUGUGGAAGUGAGGCUCAAGAAUUUGACUAUUGAGGUUGAUUCCUAUGUUGUCAGCAAAGCUUUGCCAAACCUACCAAGCCGAUUUAUCAGAGGUUGAUUCCUCUACCCAUAGCCGAUUUAUCUGUUUGCAUUCAAUUGAAAUCCAUCCACUGCUGACCCUUUCCCAAUCUAAAAAUUGGAGCUGCUGUGUAUGGUAUCAAAACAAUAAGCAGCAAUCAAUUUUCAUCUGGAGGGUUCCAUUUCAUAUCAAAGGAAUUAGUAGCAACCCAACCAUCUCAAAUCACAAAAUGUUUGAAAACGCACAAGUUUCCCUUGGCUGGAACGAAUCCCUAACCCUCUGCUGGCUUCUAUUGCGUUGGUUGUAGAGCUUCAAGCUUUGAAGGAGAGAAAGUUGUUCUCUUCUAAUGCACAACUCUGGUUUAUGCAUAUGUUCAGAGUUGUACAGGCUUCAUGUUUGGGUUUAUUGGCAGAACUAUUUACCCCAAAGAGUAUCAAAAUGUAAAGCUUCUAUGGAACAAGCUUUGUAAUCCAGAGGAUGUUAGCUGGUUUAAGUGAAUUUAAUCAUGAUUCCUCAGCUGCUAACUGAACUUCUAGAGCUUCUUAUGCUUUAAGGAAGCUGCAAUAAUUUGUUCAGCAAGUGGAGUUUACUUAUUAUGAAUUUUUCUAAUAGGGAAUAUUCUUGGAAAAAUUGCUGGUAUCUUCAAGGUACUUUUUGGCGUGGAAGAUGAAUGCGGCCUUGGGAUGUUGGGGAACAAUUACUUACUUGAGAAAACAUUAGUAGAGAGGCUUGAAGGCAGAGCUACCUCACUGAAAUUGAACUACAGUUAGCUUUCUGCAACUGGUCCAUCAAACUUCAUGGCUUCAAGUGUUGAUAAAGUAGCUGAUCUGAAUGCCUGUAUAAAACAAGGUCAAGCCUGCCUAUCUCAGCAACUAUGCAGGUUUUGUAUAUGGUUCCCAUGGCCCAGUCCAAGCAUAUGCUCCAGCAGUAUUUGACGAUGGAUGGUAUACACACAAUAAGAUUGAAGUCACCUGCAUGAUUAUUUUGUAUACACACAUUAAAAUUGAAGUCGUGAGUGACUAUGUUUAUCAUUCAAUUAUCUAUGCAUCAAAUUUUUGUGUUCA